rnacentral:rRNA from 1 species
AUUGAACGCUGGCGGCAUGCCUUACACAUGCAAGUCGAACGGCAGCGGACCUUCGGGUGCCGGCGAGUGGCGAACGGGUGAGUAAUAUAUCGGAACGUACCUUUCAGUGGGGGAUAACGUAGCGAAAGUUACGCUAAUACCGCAUAUUCUGUGAGCAGGAAAGCAGGGGAUCGCAAGACCUUGCGCUGAUUGAGCGGCCGAUAUCAGAUUAGCUAGUUGGUGAGGUAAAGGCUCACCAAGGCGACGAUCUGUAGCGGGUCUGAGAGGAUGAUCCGCCACACUGGAACUGAGACACGGUCCAGACUCCUACGGGAGGCAGCAGUGGGGAAUUUUGGACAAUGGGCGCAAGCCUGAUCCAGCCAUGCCGCGUGAGUGAAGAAGGCCUGUGUAG